AUGCAUGGCCUGUUAUUGAUCAAAAUGUCAUUAUGCAUACAUAACUUUAAUUGAACAUCUUUUAAAGAAGCUAAAAGAAGGGAGAAUCUUCUGCCUUGAUUCCCAGUGUCCAAAUACAAAAGUAUUGACUACUGUCCCUGAUGUGACGAGCAGGAUCUAUUGAAGCCGAACACAUCAUCUUUCAGUUCCAGAUGCAGAAAAAAAUGUGAAAAACUUCAAGGCCCAUUAUUGAGAAAAACUUUCAGCAAAACUAGAGAUCUAAGAGAACUUCCUUAAUCUGAUAAAGAUAAUCUAUGGAGAAUCUACAGAUAACAUAAUGAAUGGUGAAAAACUGAAUUUAUUUUCCCUAAGGUAAGAAAUAAGGUAAGACUGUCACUUCUCACUAUUUUCCCCUCAGUGUUGUACUAGAAUUCACAGCCACUGCAGUAAGACAAGAAAAAGAAAUACAAAGCACAGAUUGGGAAGGAAGAUGAAAAUCUGCCUCUAUUCCUAGAUGACAGGUUAGUGUACAUAGAAAAUACUUGUAACCUAUAAAAAACCAAUAGGUGAGUGUUCCAAAGCCACAGGACACCAGUUGAUAUAUAAAAACCAUUUCUUUUACAAUAUAUAAGCAAUGGACAAUGGGAAACUGAA